CUUUUUUUCUUCCUUUCCUUAGCCACUGAAGGCUACGUGGAUGUGGUAGGAGUGCGAUUUCUCCACAAAACAAGGGAACUUGUGGGCGGUUUUGAAGCCCAGGUGCUGAACAAGCGGUCAACCUUUUUCUUCCUUCUCCGGGGAGGUGGUGGGGAUGGUGGUCGCACUGCUGAUGGUGCCCAAGCACCACAUCUUGUAUCCCUCCUGAGGAGUUUUUGGGGAAAAAGGCUUACUUUUCUCUUACAAAACACAAAACUACAGCACUGCGAGUGCUCGCAGCCGGAGGUAGCCUCCUCUUAGUGGUGUGUGACCACUUAAGCCACAAAUUUUGAGCCCGAUUUGCUCUGAUCCACUUAACUCUUGUGUGUCAUGUUCUUUCUCCUGGGUUUAACCUCUUCAUUCUCCUUUCAGGAGUGUGCUUGAUCCCCGUGAGCACGAAGCCUUUGAGCGGGUGGAGAUGCUUGGUUAGGGAGGCGUUGCUCGAGGCUUCAACAGCGUGACCCGAACAAACUGUUUCUUGGAGAAGCGGAGUCUCCCCUCGUUUGUUUUGGAUCACGUUUGGGGUUUGGGCUUAUUCAGAGGGAAGGAAAAUGGAUGGGGCUAAGAAAAAGGGUGCAAAGCUUCUAGGAUUUUCAUAGAUCUUCCCAAUACCACCAAGUUUCUCUGUCAAAUUGUACCUAGCACAGCAAAACCCAGCACAGGCGAUUGAGAAAAUAAUAAUAAUAAUAAAAAAUAAAGAGGGUGAAUAACUGAAUAACUUCCCCAGAAGGUGCAACUGAGGGCAGCCUCGCUGGAUCUACGCUCACGCAGCUCCCUGGAGGAGCCUGGCCGUGCCCUGCUGUCGGGAUGUGUGUGCACCUCUCCUCCCUCCAGCAUCAUCCGCAGCCUCCGCCCGAGAUUGGCUGCUGCCGAGUCAGCCCAUAUCUUGCUAGAGGGAAACUUGAGACCCAGCAAGCCCGAAAUGUCAAACGCUGCUUAGUCAGAUGAAUAGCAGCACUCACCAGCGGCCAGCCCGGGCUCUUUCCACACUUCAGCAGGGGCAGGGUUGUGUGGCUGAGCUUUGUUUCUCAAUGAAACGCUGGAAGGGGAAAGAGAAAAAAAAAAAAGAAAAAAAAAAAGCUUGCGUGGAGCUGGCGAGGCGUGUGGAAAAUCAACAUCUGAGAUGAUAAUGCAAAAAGAAAAAAAAAAGCAGAUGAGCUCCUUCCCCUCCGUGCUCCUGCUCUGCUCCUCGUGUGCUGCUUUCCCCUGACAGCUGGAUGUGAAAAAUACAACACGGACAAAGCACUUGAAGCGUUACGCUGGCUUCUGCAAGGCUCCAGCAGUAAAAGCUGGGGCUCCUUCCCAGGAUUUCUCCCUCCCAGGUGUUAAUCCCACAGCACCCCAUAGAUCUGUCUCCUGGUCCGGAAGGUUUUCAGGCACUUGCAGGCUCCCACUGCUGUUUGCAGGCUGGUGCUGAGCAGCACCAGCCCCACAGGUGAUGCUUCAAACCCCCAAAUAAAAGUCACAGAGGUUGGGGGGGUCCUGCAGGGUGCUUGGGUUGGGAGGAGAAGCUGUUUUGUGCUGUCUUUUGUAUUUUUUUUGUGUGUAUCCACUGCAGAGGCCCCCAAAAGAAAAAUGCUCUCAGGCUGGAGGAUGCCCUGGGUUCAUUUUAGCCCCUAUUUAAGUUUGGCACCUGAAUGCUUCGGUCAGAAUGGACCAAAUUCAAUUAAUUCAUCGCCCAAAUUGGUGGCUAAUCAACACAUCGUGCUAAAAGAUACCACGAAGGUCCACCAGGAGACAGGUAAUUUGUGCAUUGUCGCCGGGAAGCUGGAAUUUUUGGGGCUGAUCACAGAAUUCCAGCAAGUUCAUCAGCUGAAGCCAUCGGUGUCCAUCUGUAUCUCCAAGAGCAGCUGUGAUUUCUUUCUCCCCAGCAGUGUUUUUGCCUUCAGCGACUGUUUAUCCAAAAAAAGGGCGGUGAUUGGUGAAAUCUAAGAGCUUUUACACAGAAAAUGUGUUGCAACUGGCAAUGUAAAUAACACGGUCGGUUUCUGGAAAUCCAAGUACAAAAUGCUUGCACUGAACUGCCAAAUGAUGCACGAAGUUGCCUUGUUUGAAGAAAUGAAGAGGAAAGAGAAAUCUUUCUGCCCCUGGACCUUCAGAAAAGGAUUGUUGGAAGAAAAAGGACUGAAGACAGGACAGAAAGAGGUAGCUAAAAAUAUCGAGCCCUAUAGUGUCUAAGCACUCUGUGUGUUAAGUAUGUAUGUAUGUGAAACUGAAUUCAACUUGAUAUAAUUAAUUGAAAUAAUUAGAAAUAAUUAAUCUCUUCGUGGAAAUGAAAGGUCUUAGGUCAAACACAGUGAUCUCGUCAGCAGGUUCUCAAACGUGGACAAAGCUUCCAGAAUUGAUUGCCCUCUCCCACCAGAAAAAGGUUGAGUUCCUGAGUAAGUACCAAGAUUAUUUUUUAAAAACACAAAUAGUAUUUCAAAGAACAUUAAUUGCAGUAUUUAUUAGGACUGUUAUACGUACGUACUUCAAAUGAGACCUCCUAAUAAUGCCUCGAGUGUGACUUGUGAUUUCUUAUGUGUACUAUUUUCAAAUAGAAAUAAUUUCAGGAACUAUCGAUAGUAAUGAUAGGAUCCUAAAGAAAUCCUGAAGUUGUAUAAAGAAUUGAACUCUCCUCUCAGAAGGCAGAAUUAUUUUGGUUUAAAAUGAUGCAAAUGUAACUCGGGGCUGCCACUUAGAUGGCACGUGAUGGUCUUUUUUGAAUGAGCAGAGACAGAGAGCACAGGGGAGUGUUCAGUGUGAAUAAAUCAGAAAAUAUGGAAGGGAAACAAGUCACUCCUUCUUGAUAGAUGCCCCAACAGGAAAUCUGCAAGCUUCUGGUCGUUGCUGCUUCUCAGAAGAGGAAGCCAAACCACGUCUCCACAACCAGGAGGUAUGGAGCAGAGCGUUGAGUCUCUUUGCCAGGAGCAUCACAACUGCAAGGGAAAGAUCUCCGAGUGAUCCUGGAUGCCUUGUGCUUAGAUGUGUGUCAGCAGUGUGGUAUUUCUGUGUGAAGGGAAGGGUUAAACCAUCACAACAUGACACAAAGGCCCUUAGUGGUGGCGUGCUCGCAACCCUACUUGGUUCUCACAGGUACGUGUGCCUGCUAAAAUGACGAAUGAACUGUUGGGUGAGAUAAAAGCUGAGCCUACACGAGAUUUCUCAACCAAAGCGAAUUCAAAGAGGGUUUUUCUGAGUGCCAAUCCCUGCAGCUCUGUCUGGAAACGGAGCGCCGUUCCGGGUUCUUUCCCGUUCACUCAUUAACAAGAAUAAUCCAAUGUAUCAGUCGCCUUUGCUGCCUCUGAGGCAUGAACCACAAAGGGAGACGAGGCAGUGAAUAACACAGGAAUGAAAAUUAUCCCCAGUUUCUACCCAUCUGUACAGUUACACCUUGCAGUCAUGUGUCUGAAGUAAGAGGUCAUUUUCUAAUCAGAUCCAAAUUUUCAUUAGUAGGCUUGGUCCAAUGUUGAGCAGAGCUGGAUCUCGUCAUUGCUUGCACAAAGUGUUUUGAGAUGGCUGCAGUAAUGGUGUGGUUCCGUUUGUCUUCGUUUUGCAUUAUACCUAAAACUCCUUAAUUCUUGCUGUCGUUAACCCCAUGGCACGAAGCGUGCGUCAAAGCUCUUGGAAACAGGCACUCUUCAUGCAGGAAUGCAGGAAAUACGUAUGCAAAUAUGUAGGUAAUGAAGGAAAUAGGAUGUGAAAACACUGGAGUUGGCAGAACCUCUUGGCUUCCUAGCAGUUUUUAGGGGCUCACGUUUUUCUUCUGAAUCUGCUAACCGCUCUUAAGAUGUGUUUGGUCUUGCCAACAUCUUUUUAGGACUUGAGCGCACUGAAGGAUGCCACAGGACGUGAGGUAAGCCUCGGCAUGGGCUAUGACUUGCCCCUCUCAUCCCUCACACCAGCUGAACCUGCUCAUGCAUCCGUCCUCCCUGGGACCAGUGGGAGGAGGCAUGUUCCUGCAUAAGGCAACUCAGAUCUCCAGAGCAUCGUUGUUGGGAUGGAGGAGCUCAAGGUUUUGCUAGGAACCCUUCUCUUUAGUGGUUGGAAAUGCCGAUGUUACGUUGGCCUCGUGAGCUGAUUUCCUAGCUCGGAUUUAGGGCUUGAGGUCACUGGGUGCAAUGGGUGGAAUUAUUCCAUGCAGAUGCAGGAAAAAAAGAAAAAAAAAAAAAAAAAGAAAAAAAGAAAAAAAAAAAAGGGGGCUGUGCUCUUUGUUUCCCUGGGGAUCUUUACUUUGGAGAGAAGGUUUUGUAAAGUAGGAUGUAUUCUGAAGCCCAGCAAAACUGCUGCUGUUCAGCACAACUUUAAAGAUAAAUAUAAAUAAAUAUAUAGGUAUUUUAAAUGUAAAUAAAAAUAAGUCAUAAACCAUAGUCCACCAUAAAUACCUGCCGUUUAUAAGUCUCGAUAAGAUAAGGAACCCCAAGAAAGAGAUGUCAACGCUGACUACAGACUCAAACUAAGGAGACCAAAGCAGAGAUGUGCUCAGUUACUUCUGCAAGCCUCCCUUCCCUAAGAAACCCAGCUGAAAUUCGAUUAGUAUUGCAGUUAAAACCCCAUCUGAGAGUAAGACCCCAGCUGUACGAAGGUGUCAGGUGGAUACAUGAUACGGGAAACUUUUUCUGGGUAGAGUAGAAGCGUUACCCGUGUGCGCUGUGCUCAGAUUUUCUCACCCAACGGCCCCAGCACUUUGCUGAGCACACUUCUGGUCCCAAACUUUGCAAACACCUCUUUGAUGAGGAAGGAAUGUGCACUGUUAUAUGAUCGGGGAGACCGGGGCGUGGUGGGAACGAGAGGGGCCCUAAACCGCUCGUCUACUGUUUACGCGGAAAGCAUAUUGCAGAGCUGCAGGCAACCCUCAGAUCUUUUGGGCCUUCUCACGUCCUUAGCUCGGGACAUAAUAGGGGCUGGCCUCUUUGAAAAUGUGCCCCUUAUUCAGGUUUGUGUGAGAGCAGAGUUCCUCUGCAAAUGUCUGGUGUUGUGUUUCUUCCCGUCAAGAAAGGAGACCCUAAUGUGAUGUGUGACUGGACAGAAGUGGGGAGGAUCUUCUCGACCAAGAACAAGAUCAAAAAGAAAGAGGAGUGCUUUGUACGAGGCUCUGGCUGCCCUUUAGCCUCUAAUCCUCCUCCCCUCCCCCUCAUUUUUUUUAUAUUUCCUUUGCUUUCUUCUUUAUUGCCUCAGGUCAAACCUUGAUUUUUCUUUUUGCGUUGAGGAUGUGGUUGACCCAAGCAUGGGACAUGCAAGAUGUCCAUCUCUUGGUACAGUGAAGCCCCAGGAUGACCCUGAUAGCAGCAGUCAGUGUCUGAAAAGUGUUUUUCAAGAGUACUUCACCAUCGACAGGAAAGCAAGAGGUGAAUGAGACCUCUCUGCCCUUUUUUUUUCUCUCCACCUCAUGCACCAGGUGGUAUCUAAAGAGCUUGGUGCCCCAAACAAGAUGCUGACAGGAGGUACCGAAGCCCCCCAAGUACUGCUGUGAUCUGCAAGUCACUGCUACCUUCUCCUGAAGGUUUCCAGUUAAAUUUCAUCCAGACCAUCUAGUGUCACCUCUGAAAAGGCAAGGGACCAAGGAACAUCAGGGAAAACAGAGCAAUGAGAUUUGGGGGGGUCUGGAGGUACUGCCAGCUUGUGCUGUGGGAUGUUGGGCCUUGUUUGGGAUCCUUGGCAGUAAGAAGAGACAGCAUGAAAACCCCGUGCCUGCUGGAAGGGAUGAAAGGAGUCAUUGCCCUGCCAAAUAUUGUUUGAUUUUCACUUUACACAAUUAAAUUUCUCUGGGAAGGCUGGGGUGGAGAAAUGCAGCCUGGGUUACACAGGAACGUGCGCUUGGUCCGUACCUGCUGAUGGGUGUAGGAGUUUGAGCAGGAACCUUGCCCCAUUUACAUACGUCAAAAUCAGGAUUUUAACAAAGAAUGCUGUGUUCUGGCUAAUUCUUCAUGCAGUGCCCUGGUCAGCUCUGAAAUACCAUCAAGGAGAAGUUUGGCCUCGUCAGGGGGAGGUCACGACUACAAAGGAGCAGAGGCAAGGGAGAAAGGAGCAAGCACGACGGGAUUUUUCUGAGCGCCGUAGAUCAGUGGGUUGGUCCCUCCGUGCUUCCCACGCUCUUUUUGUUGCAGUCCUGAAAGAAACAUGAUGUAGGAGGCUGGUGCGAAUCGAACAGCGUGUCCCAGAACAGCCGUGGCGUGAGCGGGGCUCCCCGCGGUGACGCUCCGCCUCCUGCGAACCAGAGGAAGCAAGCCACGAGUAAUACGAGAAAUGAUUUUAUUUACACUGAUUAUAUUUACACUGCGACGAUCCCUGCUUCCCACACGUGGCAUUACUCUCGCCAGAAGAUUUCUGGGCUCCUGUAGCAGGCGGGGAAACUGAGGCACCCAGCCUAGGUCCCUGGCUUGAGGAACGAGGACGAUUGGUCUGAGUCAAUGGGGAGACCUGAGGCCCAGACAGCGUGGGUCCCGAGCCUCUGCGGGCAGGAAGAUGUGUGUCUGCUGCUAUCCUGACAAUGAAACCAGCUGUGUGUCUCGCUGCUUGCUUGACCGCUGCUCCUAAAUUCGAGCCUGGUGCCUGGAAAAACUUGUCAUCUCAUAAAACAGCUGGCUGGAGAAGGAGCGAGCUGGCAGGCCGCAGCGGGGAGCGGUGUCCAGCGCGCCUCAUGUUUUGGCAUGUCCAGCUCGCUGCCUUGGAUGGUUUCCUUGAAAUACUUGCUUUUUAUGAAAAAACCACUGCCUGUGUUGAAGCACAUCGCUCCCUCGCAGCCUCUCUGAAGUGAACCGAGCAGGCGAACCUUGUGGUAACGCGGCGUGCUUGGUCAGGAUGAAAUCCAGACUGCGCUUUCCUGCUUCUAUCUGUCUCCUAUGAACAGCCAUAAAUAGCCAUGACCCGGCAACCAAAUUCGAGAAGAAGGCUUCUAGGAAAGCCUGCAGUGCACACUGCCUUCAGGAGCCCGAUAGCCUUAUGGUAUCUGUGCAUGCUGGAAAGCCUGACCUUGGUUGAGACACCUGCGUUUCGGUUUUUCUCAAAAGCACAUGGGUGUAUAAUACCUUUUAGCUGAUUCAGCUCCCUGACCGACUUAUCUCGCAGGUGAAUUACAGCAAAUCAAAGCCAGGGAAUGGCUCAAGAAGAUAGCGCUGGUAAUCAGUGAUAAGGUAUUUACAUUUAAGAUAAAAAAAAGGUUUGUUUCGGUUUUGUAUUUUUUUUUUGUAUUAGCUCCUAAGGAGGUGGUUAGACUUCGAGGUUCAGGAGCUGCCUUGCUGCAUCUCCUUCUCGCCAUGUGCUGAUGGCAACUGGGAAACACUGACCAGCGUUCAAGGCUCUCAAACACGUGCUGGAUGAGGUACCGUGAUGUCUCCUGGCAUUGCCCAACUGCUAAUCACACGCAGAUGACUGCAAUCACAUCUUGCAGACACGUUUGGCUUCUGCAAGGUUGAUGACAAAGAGCUCAAGAGGAUAGGGACUGACCCUAAUGUCGUGAUGACCAAAUGAGUAUGUUUCUAUUUUAGUCUGGUUAUUUUUGGUCUUUUUUUAAUGGAUGACGCUUGCUGAUAUGGGGUAAACAAGGAUUUUCUCCAGCGUGUGAGUAGUUGGAAAAAUAGCCAUGUGCGUGCUCUGCCACCCCACUGACCUCUCAAUUAAAUUACUCUCAGUUAGAUUAAUUUUAAUUUUUUUUUUUUUUUAAUGACAUUUGUGGAAUGAAGUGGGUGUUUGCAAAAGAUGUCAGUAUAGGACUGCAGAUUGCAAGAAGUGACAUGGUCACAGCUCGCUCGGAAGCCAAACGCGUUGUGUAAACGCAGAAUGGGAAAACAGGGAUGUGAGUGACCUUUCCCAUGUGAUCUCAAGUCUGUCAUCUAUUGUGAAUGUCCCGUCCUACUCAAAGUGGAGAGCUAGAGAGGAGACAUCCUUUUCUUCUCCAUCCACCCAUCCUUGGGACUUUCUGCUCCUCUUUGACCCCUGGUACCAUCUUCUGGUUGCAGAGGAGGGAGGAAAUUGGCUCAGUUGAGAUGCCUGGGAAAAAAUGUAUUAACUUGAGUAAUCAGGAUGAUACACCAGGAUCCUGAAGGCUUUCGAGAAGCAUGUCAAAAGUUAAAAGUUUUAGGAUUUUAGUUGUGUUUCAGAGUGUGUCUGGAAUAAACUGGGGAGAGAGGGAAAGAAAAAGAAAGGAGCUCCCAGAAAGGAGCGUUACCUGAUGUCAUCUGCUGUUAUUUAGACCGUCAGGCUUUAACAAAAUAAUUUAUUAACAAAAUUGUUUAAUUUACUUUCAGAAAAGGCAAAAAUAUCCUCCUUUCAUGCAGCCUUACCCCGGAACCUUGCACAGACUGUGAAUGCUGCAGUGGCUGGAGAAAGGUCCUAAAGGAAUCGAGGAAGCUUUCAGGCUAGUUACUGUUUAACAUGAAUUGCUGCAAAGACACAGUGCUUUCCUUCCCUAAAACGAACGGGACUCGGACGGGGCGAAAUCAGGAGAGUUUAUGGGCCAAUGAACGCCGGCUCUGGGAGUGUUUUCACCCUAAUCCUGCACGAUUUGACCACCCACCUCACCGCAGAAGUACAGGGGAACACCACAGGAGUGUGAGCAAAGCUGUCUUCACCUUCUCAGCCUCCUCCCGGGCUCUGCAAAGAGUCAAAAUAGCUUUCAGCUUGCCUCCUCCCCCAGAAGAGCACGAAAAGGGAUUUCUCAGCUCUGCCCAGGUGGUAAAUCCUUGGAGUUUUCCCUUGUGGGGUGAGUGGGAAGAAGCCCUGGCUGUAAUAACCACCAGGCGUGCCACCUGUAAGGUCACUGAUGGAAGGCUCAUCCUACAGUUUGUAGACAAAUAAUUCCUUCUGGCCAAAAUUCAUCCAAAUUUUGAGUUUUCACAUUUUUUUUACACAUUUUUUUUUGUGUAAGGUGAGUGCUGGGGGAAAGGACUGGCCCUUUGAGCAUCCCAUCCUGCUGGGAAGGAUCUGUGGGAUCCCUUCAGAGAGGUUGGGGAAGGGGGAACCCUCUGUAAGCGUUUAAAAGAAAACCUCACUGAGAAAACUUUCUCUAAAUACUGGAAAACUCUUUUUUUUUCAUCAAAUUUACACUUCUGGCACCGAGAGAUUUCUCGCUUCAGAGAAAUUCUCAGGGAUCCGUCUUCUGAGAAAGCUUCGGACCACUUUAGAGGGGGAUUUCUGCAGAGUGAACUCAGCGGAUAUGUGCACGCUCGCUCGGCACUGACAGAAGACGUUUUCAUCACGGGCUGAGGCACUUCUCGUUUCCUUGAAAUGUUAGCUGGGGAAUUUCGUUUGCUGCUGCUGCUCAAAGAAAACCCUGACAAAAAUACGAUGGAAGUAGAAAGGCAGUCGGAAAGAAAAUAAUCUGUUGCAGCGGUGCCUAGAGGUCCUGAACUCGGUCAGUAGCCCAUUGCACAAGAGUUCAGGGGCUUCUGAGGCUUCAGUCCUAAAGGGGAUUUUUCAGAAAUCCUUCUGGGCUCUGGAAGCAGAAGCCUCUUCAAAACAAGAUGCCUGGAGAGCUGGGAAAGCACAAGCAGGUCAGAAGGCAGCUCUGCAGACACCCCGUUGCCGCCUCGUUCAAAUAUUUGUUCAGCUUGCUUCAAGUGCUUGGGGUUUCUUGUGAGGUUAGGUUAUGGACACAGACUACACCAGGGACCAGGAGGGUUUCCAGACUAGGACAGGGUCCAAAAGGGAGCAAGGCCAGAUAUUAAUACUGGACAGCAAGAGCUUUUGUGCUCAGAAAUGCUGUGUGGAUUUGGACACGAGAUUAGCUAGCCUAGGAAGCCGCAGGGUUUGGAUGUGCCACGAGGUCUCUACUUCCUCAUGACACUUGCUAUCAGCCUGAUGUUGUUUCUCUGGCAGCUGUCACAACUUAUGCAACCGUGUUUUAUAUCAGCGGCCCCAAAUACAGCUGUAGGAGAGGCUCUCCCUUGGCCUCUCGAGCUCAGUACUCGGUGGUGCCAAUUUUCCAGCCAUGGCUUAGGCGUGGAUGUCAACCAUUUGCUUGGACGUGGACAUUUCCAGAAGUGAAGGUGUCACCUGAAGCUGUCCCUCCUCACCUCUCUCCUAUAGGAGCGUUGGAAUUCACUGUCACCCUUAGCACUGAUUAAAAUAAUUUAUUCUCUUACUAAAUUAACCAGAAAUUAAUCACUUCCCUUUUCUUCCCAGCACAGAAAACUGGUUAAAAUCACUGUGGCUUGAUCACAAAAGCUCAGCUAUUAAGAUUUUACUCAAAAAAGGUAAGUUUGCUCCAGAUGUGCAAGGCUCAGGUAAGCAGAAUUCCACCACCUGGCUUUGCUUUUAGGUUAACAGAUACAAAGAAGACGUACGAUGGGAACAGAGAAGUCUUUUCGUCUCUCUGAUGCCUGCUGAAGGAUCGUGGAGUUGCUCCGGGCACGUUUCCAGCUUUGUGCAAGGCUAAUACGGUGCUGAUGAUUUUCAGUGCGUACAACUGUAACAAGUGCAUGUGGUUUCCAUGUGGAACUGAGAGCGUGUGCUAAUGUCCUCCCAGGAGGGGAAAACCGCAGCCCCAUGCAGAGCAGUUAGUAAUUUUGUGCCUUCUUUGUCGAGCAGGUAUGGAAGUGUUUUGGUUUUCAGUACAUUUGACUGGCUUUGGAAGUGCCUCGGUUUAUUACUUGGCUAUAAUUCUACUUCCAAAAUAUAUUGGACAUGUUAAAAGCACUAUUUACACUAUUUACCUGGUCGAGACUUGAGAAAUAAUUCUGUUCUCUUACAAGGCACCAGUUCGUGUAGCUGCAACCCAACGCAUCGUAGGGACUGGUGAAAAUUGUGAUCAGAUAGACACACCGAGCUCCUGCCUGAGAGCAUGCUGACUCACAAAAUUGUGUUUGAAGACUCAAAAUGUGACUGUUUCUGACCGUAUGAUAAAUUAGGAACUCAUACGGAAAGUUGCCCGUUGUGGCUUGGCAGAGCUGAAAGAACUUAUAUGGCUAUAUAGAGAGAUAAGGAUGGCUAAAACUGAGACAAGGCGGUGGGAAAACCGAAACCAAAUUAGCAUUAAAACAGUUCUGAAUGUUCUGAACGGCAUCCGCUGGUGUCACGCCACACAGGCCUUUAUUUGACUUAGGAUAUCCCUUGCCCCAAGAGCUUCAGUGAGGUACUGAGGCCAAGGAGAACAUCAAGGUGUGGGUGAGUUGAUAUUUCAGGUGGUCACUGCACAUUUUUUAGAGACUGUGGCUUCAUGCACACCCCAUCUACCCUCUCUCACCCAUCUCUGCUCUGUAGAUCAGACCUUUCUUAAGAUUUUGGUCAAAGGAGAUGCUUCUCCUGCAUCUCCUAGGUAGGACCAUUGCCAGCUCGUGACCAAGCCGUGUCUGACCCAAAGCAAACCUCCCUGCCCGCUGGAGCAGCAAUUUGGGGUGCCAGAGCUGGGUCGCCGUGUCCCUGUAUCCCUGUCUGAAGGGUCUCCACAGCCGGGGAGGAGAACACCUUGUUGUGUCUCGGCUCGUGCUCCCCCAGCCGUACCGCUAGACGAGACGGGAAGAUGAAAGAGUACUGAAAACAUAGAUUUGGAGCAAAGGAACAAAGAUAAAGGAAGAUAAAACCAGAAAAUGCCUUCUUAAGAUUAUCUGUAAUUACAGAGAUCGUCCUUAGCUGGCUCAGCACACUUGCUGCUCUUUCUUCUGGAUAGAAGCAGCUGGAAUUUCUCUCUUUAACUCUUAGAGGUCAACAUCUUCUUCUCCCAUAUCCAUUAACUAAGACAGAUCCCAAAUCUUUGUUUUUUCUCUUCUGUAAGAAGAAAUCCAGAGCAAAACCCGGUCUUUGGUCUGUGGGGCUGCAGAAGUCCACGGGUACCUUGCUGGGGCCCCGUGCAAAGAAGCCAGGGAAAGUCAACGAGCCACCAACGUUCCUGCACACGUGGGCAAACCCUCCGUGGAAAAAAGUUAGAGGCCCAGGAAACAAUAAAGGUUGAAAAUGCUGGCCGUAGGGUUCAGACGCAUAACAUUAAAGAUUAAGAGCCAUGUGAAAACCUCAGCCCACAUCUGUGGUUCGUAAGUGAAGGUUUACUGUCGGGCAAAUUAGUGCUGAAGUCUAUUAACUUCUUGAAUUCAUUGAGCUUCUGAUAGCUGUUUCUUUUUUUUAAAAAAAAAGGCUGCAUUUUGCUUUUCAGCACUUCUCCACGUGAUGCAAGGCAAGCGACAGCAUCAGCUUUCUGUGGAAAUCCGGUCUUGUCCUCUCCUGACAUCUUUAUGGCAUGCAAAAUAGACGGUGUGGCCAGCCAGAGAGCUGAGGGAUGCACCGGAAAACUGGAGAGAGAUCACAUCAGGACACGCGCUGGCCCAUGUGGAGCAAUGGCCAGGGGCAACGGCAGAGCCAGGCUGCUCCGAGCACGUGGCCGAGCACCAUCCUGCAAUGGCAGCCAAAGAAUGUGUUGUCCUUAUGGAGAGAUGGAUUUGUGCUGGGACCUGCUGCCCCGAUGUGCUGCAUCCCCUACAAACCCCGUGGUCAUCCUUGGCACGGAGACUCCCUUCUGACCGACCCGAGCCCCGCGGAGUUCCAGCUAAGUGCCUUUCUACGGAUAUUGUGGGCUAAGUGCUUUGCUCGGAGGCUUUUCUGUUCCCCCAAGGGCUUCAUUGGCAUGCCCAGGCCACAGGCUGUUCUCACACUUGCCCAGCUCUCAGGAAGAGGAGGAAUAAACUCGGAGAGACGCUGCAGGGGGAUUAAAGCACCGGGUGAUUUCUGAGAACUCCCCUCUGCAGCGAUGACAAAUAACCCGACACAACUGGAGAGGGACAAAGCUGUCCCCUGAGUAGGAUCAGGGCUGGCUAGCACAGCAGGAAGAGCUCGAUGGGAUUCUUUGAGGUUUUUCUUUCUCUGAAAAAGAAGAGGCCAUGCCUCAGAGAGUCCUUACCAAGUGGUGCUCCCCUCUGAAACCUGGUUCACUCUGCCAAAGGCCUCUCCAACCAAGGAAAAGUUAUCCAGUUCCUCUUUAUUUCCCCCCAUUAUUCACAAUCUGUUCUAUUUGGCUAUUUUUUUUUGUAAUUUGCCAUUGAGGUAGGCACCGUCUGGAGCCGAAGACAUCCAAAAAUGCAGAUCUAUCAUCUCCCAUGACUCUUCUCCCGUGCGAGUAAUCGAGUGCUUUGCCAAAAGGCACUUCACUCUUAGACACCAACCCUAACUGCAGCUUUCCACGCAGCUCGGUGAAACUGGGAUUCGUCUGAAUACUUUUGGCUGGCCGAGGUAUCCCCGUCAUCCCCUGCCAUCGCCCUGCCCUCUCUGCUAGCUGCUGCCCUGCCAAUGCUAAUAUUACCCGCAGAUUUUAUCGGCGGCCUCGCGUAGGCAUAUUUCGGGAUCGCUGAUCAAAAAGGGCAAUUAGCACCGCGAUAUUUCUCGCCUCACGAAAAUUAUCGGAGCUGAUUGCAAAAUUCUUCAGAUUCCAAAGGCAUGAAAGCUUUUCUUUAAAAGGAAAGGAGAGGUGAUGCUGCACGAAGGAAAUGCUCUGCGGUUGGAAACGUUUGCCCUUUUCGCCCACCCGGAUGCCUACAGGUCCAUUCCCUCACAUCGUAGCACCUGGGGGAUUUGCGUAGAGGAAGCUUUUCCACAGUUCCUCUCUGAGACCAGUGGGAUGACGAGGUCUUUCCUGCGGCUUAUGGGAUCACUGGAUGAGAUGAACUGGAGCUGUCUGUAAGAAGGGUUAACCAGGAAACGAGGCGUUUUUCAGCUGUGGGAAGCAGAGGUGCUGGAUGUGGUGAUGCUGCAAAAUUGAAGACACGCGCUGAGGUCUUGUCGUCUUGGCACUGGGUUUUGAUUGGCAUUUCCCUGCUUCAUUUCUUGCUAAAUGAGCCCCCUGUAGCAGAUCAUCGGUCUCUGUUCAGGAGAGAGAAGAGAUGAACCUGAGCCGUCCCGCGGGGAAAUACAGCCUGGGCAAGGAGUUCACCACAUGCUUUGUAGCGUGAUCCUGCACGUGCUUGAAGUGGAGGAUGAAGCCUGAGUACGUUUCUCUGCAGCACGGCGAAAUAUCCUAGGAAUGGGCAAGACCUGGUACGCGCUGCGUGGUUCUGGGCUCCUUCCAGGGAAGGGAAAGUAUGAAAGGUACCUCGGAAAAAGCCAUGCUCAUCCCGACAGAUUCACCUGACUUUAAUAAAUAAGAACAGAGGAAGUCUGCUGUCGGAUUCGGAGCUGUGUGUUGGCUCACCCCUCACAGUCCUGUGCUGGGAUUUAUAUCUCUAAACCUAAAGGAUCAGGGAUGAGAGGUGCAUUUUGUUUCCACGGGAUUGCCGUUGACUCAACUUCACGUUUUCAUUUGAAGUCUGAAACAAAGAUGGUUUUAGUUCAUUGCUGUCUAGCGUGAGUGAUGCUCUGCCCUUGCAAAAAUGUAACAUCCUUGUAAAAUUUCGUGGUUUUCUGCUUUAUCAUCUUCCUGGUCAAUCCGUGCAAGGAAAGAGAUCAAACAUCUGUGCUUCUCCAGAACGGAAACCAGUCAUAUUUGAAUGAAUUCAAAGUGAGGUCAGCACGUACGUAUUGCCAUCUGUGUCAUCUUUACCUUGCCGAUAGGAGAAUUAGAAGGGAUGAUAGAUGUAGGAUGGAAAAAAUAAAUGCAACUGUGGCAUAACUGCAUUUCCCAAACUGGAAACACUGAUGUCACUCUCAUCCCAUGUCUUUUUGGGAAGUUGGUAUUUUACACGUGCCAGGAAAAUCAUUCAUAUCCUACCUCUACUGGAUACGUUUCAACAAUGUGCUUAAGUUUAUUGUUUGCAGUGUAACUUAACCUAAUUCCUGUGCUCUUUGUGUUGUCUUUAUAGUUAAAACCACCAAGAGUGGACUGAUUUGCAUGCUUUGAUAUUAGGAAAUGUUCUGAACUGCCAAGAUGGGUCUUCAAAGAAGACCCAAGAUGGCUCUUCAAAGGCAGGUUGGAGAUCAAAACCCCUUUUAGACUUUCUGUUGUGAAAGCAGCCAGCAUCACACUACGUUACGUCGUGGAAAACAUUGUAGGACACGAGGGAACCUUUUCACUGACUGCUGUCAUCACGAGACGUCGUAUAGAUGGAGCUGAAGGUGACUUUAGGUCUUGUUGUGUCUUUGGCCAGAUGGAUGGACUCCAUCCUACCCUAUUUUCAAUUUUUCAGUGGCCAUAUCUCUAUUUUAUUUUUUUUUUUAUUAGUGAAAAUUGCUUAAUAAUGCCAGGAAGCCAGCUAACAGUUGGCUCCAGGUGGAUUACCUCAGUUAUCAAUUAACCCUAAGGGGUGAGUCAGAGCUUUCACUUUCAUCUAGAAGCUCCGUUUCCUCAUCACCCAAUUUAUGCAACGGUGCAGCUGCCGUGGGUACCUGCGAGAACUUGGCCGGAGGAGGAAACGCACAGACAAUUAAUUGCUCCAUCACCAACUGCUGAAACUCUCGUAACUAAUACAAACCAGGACAUUCUCAGCAGCCCAUAAAUCAUCGCUGCUUCCCACAUCCAGUGUCUUAUCUCAGCGUAAAGCAGCUUUCCACUCCCUAGUGUAGUUUGUCUGCAGGUUUCCUUUGUCUCUGAGAACAUCUUCGGAAUUAGCACCAAAAGAUGCAGCUCACCUGCAAGGGGGAGUGCUGGUAGGUUGUUUCUGAGCAGAUCUGCGAUUAAUUACUAAAUUGUUCCAAGUGAGAAGAGUUUCUCAGGAGGGAAAAUGCUGCUUUGUUUCAGAAAUCCGAAAGCAAUCAAAAAACUCUGAAAAAUUAAAAAAAGCACUGAAGAUGUGACAUGACAAGUGCAGCUCAUCACACACCUCUGGAUGUAGGAACACCACUGGGCUCACCAAGCUCAGCGCAAUGUAUUUGGCUGUCGUUUCAGCUCAGGUAUCGAGGUGGAAAAUGGGAAGUAAAGAUAACCCCGUAGUAAAACCACCACCCAAGUUCAACAAUUUCACAUUGAUUCCUGCAUGGGUGGUGGCCCUGGCCACAAGGACAAGUGCUCUUAGUGCUAACAGAGAGUGCAAUCACACCUGAUGCUAAUUAACCCAUCAGCUGGGAGGGUUAAUGAGUGAGGUUGUCCCCCUUCAAUGUUGUGAUGGGUUGGAUAAUGGGGUUAGAGUAGUAGUAGGGGAGCAGCAGGAGGUUGGAUGAUGGAGAAGCAGGAUCUUCAAGCUAUGUAAUCACUUAGAAGUUUGUUUUCUGCCUUUACUUCCAGAUGAAAUAUCUAAUUUUGGAGGAAAAAAAAAUAAAUAAGAUGCAAGGCAAUUUCCUGAGCAAGCCCGAGGCUGAGUGUACGCCACGUGUAUCUCCAAAACCAGAGCUGGACAACUUAUCUACUUUGUCAGGUUGUUUGCUUUGAGCACGAGCUCUCCCCAGGCCGUGGGUGAGAGGAAGGUGGCACGGGACCAGGCCGAGUGGCUGCACACCCCUAGAAGAAACUUCAUUUUUCUGUUUUUCUAAGAAGUUCACUGUUUGUCACUGCCAGUAAAUGACAACAGGAACACCUGAGAGCCAGGAGGGAUUCUCCGGGCAUGUUCAUCCCUUCCUAAGAAAAACGAUAAACACAAGGGAAGUCAUCUUCUAAAGUGCCCAUUAUCUCCUCUGACUGCAAGAAACCUCUCGCUGACGCUUGUGUGUCAAACAUCGAGCGGCCUGAGCUUAAGUGAGAGGAUCGGCCACUGCAGCAUCCCUCGCAGCAAGUUGUGUGAAUGCACCGUGAGCCAAGCACACCCCUCCCAGCGUUGUGUGGGAUCGUGGCGUGAACUUCCUGAUGUCAUGCGGGAGCAGCAACACGUCCUUCAUCUCCUGUGUAUCACACCAGCCCAUCCAAACGGGUUUAAUUAGCUGUGAGUGGAGCAAACUCUUGCAGAAAUCGAUUUGAACGUGCUUUGCAAAGUGAGGUAUUCCCGGCAAGUGCUGCAGUUUCACAAAGUCACCCUCUCGUGUUUUGUAAUCGCUCUCUGAAAGAUUCAGAGAGAUGAUGGAAACUGGGCAUGUGGACAAAUCCCUCACACCGGAGACCCCAAGCAAAGGGAAGCGGGGAAUUCUCUCUCCUUUCAGCUGCUGAGACUUUUCUCUCUCUCUCCCAGAGGUCCUUUCUAAAAAGCUGAGCUGCUUCUCAAAGCUGAUGUCAGUUACACUGCGUGCAACAAUCCAAGAAUGACUACCAACAUCUGCUGUUCUUCCACGGAUGCAGCAGUAGGUUUUCAAAUGCAGGUUUCAGAUGUUGAACAUAUCCAAACGAGCAAAUUUUAAGUAAACCUCUACAUCCAGCUACGAUUCUUAUUUUAUUCAGCCCGGAUUUGCAUGACUCAAGCAACAGGGCACAAAUUGAUUCUUUCCAAAGAUAGUUCUGUGCUUUAAGAGAUGUUACUUCAUCACGAGAGAGAUAUUGAAACGAGGAUGCAAAGAAGUAACAGCACACUGUAAUGGAGGGACCUGUGCACAAAGGCUUGCUAGGGUGGUCCCUUAUUUUUAGGAGCUGGGGGGAAUGAGGACUGGGGAGCCUGUGUGUUCAGCAGCAGCUUAGCAGGGAAUUUGGGACUUUUUUCAGCACUGCCCUGAGGGGGCGCAGGCAUCUGCGGUGUGAAGUCUGCUGGAGGACAGCUUUGGGUGCUGGUGGCCCAGCUGGGCUCAGUCCUAUCCAUGUUGUGCAUGGGGAAAAAAAGCUUUAUAGGAAAUAUGAGCAAUUUAUUAGCAUGGAUUAUAGCUGGUUCAGUGCUUGAACUUGUUCUCUGGCUAUUUUAUUUAAGGGUGUAGGUGCAACUUCUAUGGUUCUUGCUUUGCAGUGCCUAGGUAGGAAGGGCAGGGAGUCCUAGAUGCAGUGCCCACACGUGCUCCAUCAUCUCUCCAGUAGGUACAAGCUGAAAAAGUUCCCCUUUUGGGAAUAGGGAGGGGGACAGAGCUAUCUUGCAGAGCUCCAAGUCCCCUUCUUUGUCCUUCCUCCAGUUCUUGAAGCUCAGGGAGUUUACUUUCCCACAAAGGCUCUUUCCCUCCUCUUAAAAAUAUUUACUCCAUUAAAAUCCCUUCCAGGCUGUAAACGCUAAUCCUCUCAGCUCGCAGUGAUGCUGCACUUGGCACUGAAACAGUAAUUAAAAAAAAAAAAAAAAAAAGCAGGCUUCCCAAAUUCUGAGGGAAAGGAGGUCUUGCUUGCAGUUAAACUGAUUGUCCUCUCAGUUGUCACUUGGAGGAGUGCUGCAGAAUCGUCCUUGUGCAUGAAAUCCCAGUACAAGUCACUCCGAACAGCCGGGGAUGUUUUCAUUUUCCCCAAAUCAAAGCAUUCGGGACUAGACAAAACAACCUGCCGGGAGACAGCAGCUACAGGCUCGCACCGGGCUUCUCGGAGGGAUGGUGGAUAUGGGAGCAGCUCUCAGGCUGGGUUAAAUUACAUCUUGAAUAUUCAGAUUCUUAAUUUCCCAUAGGCUUAUGUGCAGCUGGACGUUGCCCAACGUUCCUCUAAAAUCAGUUUCUACAUCGGAUGCAUGCAUUUCCAAGCCAAGAUUUUCCAUCUUCAUUUUGCAUGUCCAAAUGGAAGUGAGAGUCUCGAGCAAGCACAGACCUUUCUGACAUCCCAAGACAUCCAGUAGACAUGGAAAGCUGAGGCUUUGAGGUUGUAGGCCCAGGUGCUGGUGCUGAAGCAGGACUUGUUCUGUUUAAUCACAGUAGCUUCGCCUGAAGAAAAAUGGAUUUCCUGUGAAAAUCAGAAACUACUUCAGAACAGAGAGAGUGACUUGGAGCCCUUCCUCACCGAAUCCUUUCACCCAGCCCUAUUCCAUUUUUCUCCGGGACUUUCCGAAUACCCAGAUCGCAGGUGCUCAAACUACAGAAGUGGCCGGAUGAAAAGGCCAGCUCCAACCACUAAAUCCCCAGAGCCUGGUGUAAUCUGAAUCCUGAACACAGAUUCUGGAUAACAGAUCUUUUGGGGUGGUGCUGCUGGACUUGAGCAGAGCCUGAUUAAGCACAGCAAGCCCUUAAAAUGACCUGUGAGUGAAACAGCAUUGCACACACUGCAUAAUACAUACUUUAAAUUAAGAGAGAGAGGUAUGAAUAUCCAGACUAGUGUUUACUAAGCCCCUGAAAGUCUACUGAGACCGUGUUUUGCAGUAUUGGGCCUUUCCAAGCAAAAUCAGAGAAUACCAGUAAUACUGGGAGGGAGCAGUUCUCCUGCCCAGUUUUGCAGGUUCAUGACAUUUAAAGCAUUCAGGCUCUCAGAUGCUGGUCCAAACCUUAUGAUGCAGUCGCUCCAGGCUGCGUUUCUGAGCAUUCAGGGGAGAUUUUUUAAAAGGUCAGGCUGUACAGUGAGGGCCAGAUUUAGGAAAAAGCUCCAAACUGCGUUUGGGCUGUUGAAUAAACCUAAGCAGCUCCUUUCAGGAUUUACUAGGUGCAGAACUGGGUGUUCCACCAUCAGAAAAAGGUACCGAUCUGGCCAGGCUUUGAGCUACUGCAGGAUUAGGGCUCCCAAAAUACUGUCCUGACAAGCGUAAUGCUGACCUGAGAGAUGCAGCGAGGUGUGGGAAAUCUGUGUUUCUGCACCAGAAGGAACAGAUGGAUAUUAAACGAGCAGACUUCCCUAAACACGUGUAACCGAUAAUUUUCUAAACAAAUGCUUCAGGUAGAAAGUCUACAGGCAGAGCUUUUAUUUACUUAUUUUAAGCUCAGGAGAGUGGUCUCUGUGCAUCAGCCUGCUGCUGGCUAGGCUCAGGGACUGGUGGAUCAGGUUUCUGCCUACAUUAUUUGCACGUGGGGGAGGAAAAGCCCUUCCUCCUGUGACACAGCAGCAGCCCCGAAGAGGCCAGGGCUGGAUUUUCAGCUGCCUGAGUCCUGCACAUCGGAACAGAUGUUCAGAAGCCAGAUUUCCAAUUUUUCCCUCAGAUUGCUGAGGAAAGGCACCUCCGGUUUUGAUCCUUGCAAGCCAGUUCUUACGCACCCCUUGGCGUUUUGGUAUUCCCUUCAAGAUCUAGGGCCUUAAUUUGGUGUCUAAGCUUUCUUUGUGGCUGACUUUGAUGUCAGAAUUCACUUGUCUUUGUGUCUGGGCAUCCGAUGAAUCACUGAUUCUCCCCCAGCAUCUAUCAUUUCUGUCAUAUGUCACCUGAAACAACUGUUUUAUAUCUCCAGGGAUUGAGUGUCGCAUCCUGUCAACUGACCUCAGCUCUUUGACUGUUCUUGACUCCUUUCCAUCAUGUGGGAGACUGGUGCGAGUUCACAUCCAAGACGACUCAACUAUAUUUAGGAACCUGAUGAUGCUGUGUUUUGAUAUUUUGAAGCCCUUUGACUCACUCCCUCGUUGCAUUCCCUGUUAUUGUUGAGGUUUUUCAUGCACGUCGUCCCCAUCCAGCUUCUCCCCUCGUCCUCGAUCAACCUCGCAUUUCUGGUAACCUCUGGGACGUGUCUCUCUGGGACUGCUUGGAAUUGUCCCGUUUCAUAACGGGCCUCAGCUGGCUAGGGCUGGUGGCAUUUCUGAACCUAGACUCAAACCACCCUGUCGUCUACCACAUGUCUGCUUCCUACUGUGCUUAGUUUUUGGAUGAUUAUAUCCAUUCUAGCCUUUCUUUGUUACCUUUUUGGUAACAAAUUUCCCCAAGCCUUGCUCUGUCAUAUCAUAACUAAUUUACUGAGGCCACCACUCCUUGCUCAACAAGCUGCUCAGGUUCAAUUUAACUAUUUUCCUCAAUUUUCACAGUAUCACAGAAUUUCUAGGUUGGAAGAGACCUCAAGAUCAUCGAGUCCAACCUCUGACCUAACACUAACAGUCCUCCACUAAACCAUAUCCCUAAGCUCUUCAUCUAAACGUCUUUUAAAGACUUCCAGGGAUGGUGACUCCACCACUUCCCUGGGCAGCCUGUCCCAGUGUCUAACAACCCAAAUUUUGGCUGAUCCUUAAUCUGUUUUAGCACAGUGUGGUUGUCACAAACAAUAUUAUUUGGAAAAUGAACCAAACGCUGAAGGAGCUCUGUCUGUUUCUGCUAGGCACAGCUUCUCUUCAGUUGGUUUUCUUACUUUUUGUCUCAGAUUUUUCAGGUGUCUUUCUCAGAUCUCUGAAACUGCGUUAGUAGUUAGUUCCUCUACUGCUGCUGUUGGGUUUUAAUUUUAUUUUUGUAUAGAUAGGGAAUUUUGUAGAAGCCUUUCAGCAAGAUACACUGGUGACCAGGACAAGACCCUAUAGGUCUAAAACUGCUUUUUGUGACAAAUUCUCGGUAAACUUUCUUGUCAUGUUUUCACCAUAUUUUUCACCGUAUUUUCACCUUCUGUGACCAGAAAUCUAGGCAAGCAAAUUACUGCAUAGAACUGCAGAACAGUUUGGGUUGGAAGAGACCUUAAAGAUCAUCUAGUUCUACAUCCACAAACCCCCUGCCGUGGGCAAGGACACCUUCCACCAAGAGGUGAUCCUCUUCUACCCACAAAAAACUACAGUACUGAGGUCAUCACUAAAAUGUCUUCAUAUAGGACAUCUUGUACUGCAUGGGGGCUAUACCAACAGAACAAGAUUAUAGUGGUGGCCACCUAUCAAGUAAAUUGCAUUUAAAAUUGUAAGCUGUAGCACAAGGAUAUUCCCAAUAUCUCUUCCAGCUUUCAAAACUGGAUAAUAUAGAAAGGAUUUUACACCUGUUCCUGGAUUAGGAGCUCUGUGGUGCAGGCCACUUGACUUCUUAAAUGUGUUGAAGAAUUUAUCAUCUAGUAGGUGAAGAGAUAAAAGUCCCAAGUAGGUGAAGAGAUAAAUGAACAAGCCCUACUGGGGUUGUUACUUGGUUGAAGUGGUGUUUUGCCAAAUAACGUGAAGAAAUUCUUAUUUUUUGCAUUUGUGCCACACCAUUUUUGUCUUAAUCAUGCAAGGGGUGACUACGUGGAAGUUGAGAAACUGGGGCUCUGUGUUUUGGGCAACGGGCCCUUAGCUAAAGUGAAAAGAGCAGGGUCAAAGCUGAUGAUGUUUUGCCGACCAAGGGGAAAAACUGAUCCCCCAGUGACAUGUCACACAAUCUUCCUCUUCCAGCAACACAAGAGCCAGAGAAGUUCUGGCUUCUUCUGUACGAGAACGUUUCACUUGGAUAAUGAACAAGUUCUUGUAUAAACAGCAUGUUUACUUCUGACAGUGUUCUCCUAAAAACGAUUAAUGAGGACUGCAUCAUCGCUUCUACCCUGAACGACAGGACAAACCCAGCUCAUCAGUUUUAGAGAUGAGGACCUGGCUCUGGAGGUGCACAGUCCUUCAUUCCCUGCGGUCUUUCUAUGUGGUCUCCGAAAAGGAGAGGAGACAGCCAGGGAUGAUGUCCUCGGAGGCGUUGGUGAAUGCAGAGCCGUCAGCUUGUGCCAAGUCCCGGGGUAAAUAAAACUAAACCACCCCCUCCUGCUAAGCCAUGCAUCAAGAAAACCGCCUGGGAAUGGGCUCAGUGACUCGCUUCGAAUGCAAAUCGCCCUUCGUCCCCGGUGGAGGCACGGAUUCACGUGCGCACACCCCCAUUCUUCCAGCCCUGAAAGCCAGACAAGUCCUAAAUGAGUAAUAAAGUACCUAAUUGGACUUGACCCCCUACUGAAAUGGGCCUGUGUGUAAGCGGCUCUGUGGCCGUGUGUGUUUUGCCCUCCUUGGCCAAAUUCUCCCCUCUGGUGCCUGCUGCUGUCUGCGUGGUGCGGGUCUCUCCGUCACGGUCUGCUGCAUCUUGGCUGCCUUCCACCUGGCAGCAUUUGGGCUAAGCCCUUCAAACAAAAUAGCCCCUCUGUAGGGUCUGCCUCGCUUUCUUUGGGGCCGGGAGGAGCCAAAAAGGCCCUCGGGAUCGCGGAGCUCUGCGCCGCUGCCCACCGUGUGUCCUGAGCGGGGAUUUAUUGCGUCCCAGUGCUCUGCGCCCAGCGCCAGCCUUGUCAUGAGACUGAAGUGUUUCAAGCUUCAAAUCCCACAGCUCUGCAUGGUUCAGAAAAGUCUUUGCUUGAUAGAUCCAGGCAGAGAAAAUGGGUUGGGGAAGAUUUUUAAGACUUAUAAGAGAGGAAUCCCGGAGUGUGCCCAACUUCUGUCCUGGUUGUUGGUAGACAUUUCUCCCUCCAGCUCCGCAAACCAGGGUGCUGAGCCUUUGGUUGACCCAGUCCUUCCAACUGGAAGGUUUUCUAUAUUUUUCAAAAAGUCUUUAGGGUUUCAGGACUAUUGUGUGUUAUUUAGGGGGAUCAUUCUCUUAAGGCCGUGCUUGCUGACAGACCUUGAGCUCUUGAGGCUGCCUGGAGGACGUAGGAAGGAGGCAGUGCUUCCCCACGAGGUUAUUUUUUUCUUUUCCUUUAUUUCUCUUCGCACAUUUUGUAUUGCUGCUUUAUGCAAUCUGAUCCCUGGGGAAGGUUGUUAUUUAGUGGAUACCCAUACAGCACCUGGCAAAAUGGGAUUUUGCUCAAUUUUGAGGCCUCCAAGAUCAAUUAUCUUUCCCGCACCGAUUAAGCACCCUGGAAUAAACUCUGUUUUAUUACCCAAAGUGAUCUACAGCCUUCUCUUUAUCUUCUCUUGAUGCUGAGCAGCAGGAAUAGCCAAGAAUAAAGAAAACCAGAGAGAAAACAAAUAGGCCCUGCCAGAGCCAAAUGGGCUUCAUACGGAGUCAAUUUGUAUUUUGCUGUUGCACACAUUGCAGUGAUUUUUUUUGCCAUCAUUUAAUUCCUCUCUCUCCCAGCCAGCACGGGCUUGCAGGGAUGCAGCUGACUGUGGAGUGAGACCCGUGGUCCAUAAACACUUCAGCUAAGAUUAAAGGUACUCCGUAAAGGCUGAGUGUGUUUUUGUUAGGUGUUUCCAGAUGAGAGAGAACUGGAUUAUCCCUCAACCCCGUCAAGAAAAACGCCGUGUUGCAGAACCAGGAAAAGAAGAUAAAGACCUUCAUGUAGAAUCUCCAGAGGAGUUACCAGGGACAAUCACUUCUACUGCUGUGUGUAGUGAUGGCCAGACCAACGUUUCAGCUCCACGAACCUGAUGGAUGCUGCAGGAUGUCGACAAUUUAGGCAAGGUGCCGAGGGCUUAGCAGUUUGAGGUGUGAUCCGCCGUCCUCUCAGUUUGCUUGGGCCAGCUUUGCUUGAAGGUGUGAGGAAGAGGAGCUCGAGGAGGGUUGACAGGAGGCCCAGACCCUGUGCAGCAGAGCGAAAACAUCAACCACAAAGUCCAUAAAACGUCGAGUCCUGGUGGGAGCGCUUGCAAACAUGCUGGAGAACUGGUCUGGGACCUCAAAUUUAGAUUUUACCCUGGAAAAUCACCUUCAACCCGGCAACAUCGAUCGUUUCCCACCUCCCGAGCUCCAACAAGCAGCUGAUGUCCAAACCUGGAGCAGUUUCACCUGUCGUCGGGGCCUGUAGGUUUGGAGCUGGUGCAUUCAGGAGCUGCAGGUUGCUUUAUCCUGGCUGGAAAACCCAAUGGCUGGAGGGAGCAAGGAGCACAGCUCUGCUGUCAUACAACCCCUCUCAAUCCCCUUAAUUUUGGCUGAGGAAGGACCCAAGCCUUCGCUUCAAAUUCCCAGAUUUACCUUAAAUUCAGCAAUUGAUGACAAACAGCAGAGCUCGGCUUUGGCUCCAGUUGUCCGUACGGGACGGGAUGCGAAUUAACAUCAUCUUCAUUAAAAUAUUUUGGAAGCGCGCUCUUUUGGUACAAGUGGAAGAGUGGAAAAAAAAAAUCAGGGUUCUUUCUCCUGUCCCAGUUAUUUCCAGUAUUUGCAAUCGUUAUCUUAAGGAGAUGCUGUCAAUUUAAGUAUCACAAACAUUUGAUUUCCCCCCACGUGCAAACUUAUUAACUAGUGAUGGGACUAGAAGGAAAUAGGUAAGUGCAUUUCCAUUUUCUUCCUUGCUCAUCUGACAGCAUUCCUCAUGAUAUGAGGCUCCUUGCUUCUCCCACGUAGCUGGCAAGUUUUUCCCCGGUCAUUUCUCAUGGUCUUCCAACGGGGAAAAGGAAACCAGCUCCGAGGGGCACUAAAAUCCCACAAGAGCGGCAAAAGCUCUCCGACGAAACUGAAAAAAAAAUGUCUUUUGGCUCCGUUUUGAGAAGAUGCACGAGAUACGAGGUUCCUCGCGUCCUGGUAAGUAGCUGUUGGACAGGAUGCAAGAUUUGUAGGUCAGCGCUUUGAUGUUGUUCCUGGAGCUGGCUGGGAGGCACCGUGCGGCUUGGACCUCGGACAGGAAUUUAUGCUGAGGAUACCGGUAAGAAGAAACAGGAAAAAAAUAGAGAGAUGAUGAUUAAUUUUGUUCGAAACUUACACCUUUUUGCAAGCCCAGCCCUGGGACUCGUGCGUGUCCCUUCGGGCAGUGCCCGGGUGGGUGAACUUGAGUAGAAGAGGCUCGUCGGGCUUCGUGAGAUGAGGAAUUGGCCACGAACGAAUGCUCAGCGAGGAGGAAGCUUUGCAGACAUUACGGGACAAGCCAAAGAUGGAAAAGCAGGGGAAAAGAUGGAAAACCUUAAUUGAUGAAAUCAUUAAAGUGAGCACGUGCAACGUGUAAA